UUUGACCUCAAAUCAGGUAGGACUACCCGCUGAACUUAAGCAUAUCAAUAAGCGGAGGAAAAGAAACUAACAAGGAUUCCCCUAGUAACUGCGAGUGAAGCGGGAAAAGCUCAAAUUUGAAAUCUGGCAGUCUUUUUUUUCUUCUUUGGCUGUCCGAGUUGUAAUCUAGAGAAGUGCUUACCUGCACUG
rnacentral:rRNA from 1 species